rnacentral:rRNA from 1 species
GACGUAGGGGGCAAGCGUUAUCCGGAUUUACUGGGUGUAAAGGGAGUGAAGACGGUUCUGCCAGUCUGGAGUGAAAGCCCGGGGCUCAACCCCGGGACUGCUUUGGAAACUGUGGAACUAGAGUGCAGGAGAGGUAAGUGGAAUUCCUAGUGUAGCGGUGAAAUGCGUAGAUAUUAGGAGGAACACCAGUGGCGAAGGCGGCUUACUGGACUGUAACUGACGUUGAGGCUCGAAAGCGUGGGGAGCAAACAGG